rnacentral:rRNA from 1 species
AUUGAACGCUGGCGGCAUGCCUUACACAUGCAAGUCGAACGGUAACAGGUCUUCGGAUGCUGAUGAGUGGCGAACGGGUGAGUAAUACAUCGGGACGUGCCUAGUAGUGGGGGAUAACUACUCGAAAGAGUGGCUAAUACCGCAUGAGAUCUACGGAUGAAAGCAGGGGAUAGCAAGACCUUGUGCUACUAGAGCGGCCGAUGGCAGAUUAGGUAGUUGGGGGGAUAAAAGCUUACCAAGCCGACGAUCUGUAGCUGGUCUGAGAGGACGAUCAGCCACACUGGGACUGAGACACGGCCCAGACUCCUACGGGAGGCAGCAGUGGGGAAUUUUGGACAAUGGGCGCAAGCCUGAUCCAGCAAUGCCGCGUGCAGGAUGAAGGCCUUCGGGUUGUAAACUGCUUUUGUACGGAACGAAAAGCCCUGGGUUAAUACCCUGGGGUCAUGACGGUACCGUAAGAAUAAGCACCGGCUAACUACGUGCCAGCAGCCGCCGUAAUAC